rnacentral:lncRNA from 1 species
GCUGGGCCCGGUGGCUCUCACCUGUAAUCCCAGCACUUUGGGAGGCCAAGGUGGGCAGAUCACUUGCGGUCAGGAGUUUGAGACCAGCCUGGCCAACAUGACGAAAUCUCGUCUCUACUAAAAAUACAAAAAUUAGCCAGGUGUGGUGGUGGGUGCUUGUAAUCCCAGCUACUCGGGAGGCUGAGGCAGGAGAAUCGCUUGAAUCCAGGAGGUGGAGGCUAAUUUUUGUAUUUUUUAGUAGAGAUGGGGUUUUACCAUAUUGGCCAGGAUGGUCUCGAUCUCCUGACCUCGUGAUCUGCCCGCCU